ACCCGAGCUUCAACUCUCCUCCAGAGGCAGAACAGUUUGGCAACCCUGAACCGCAUGUUUCUCUACUGGCAAAAAUGAAAAGGCUCCUUCCUGCAUUAAAAUCCCUACUGGGUACCGUUCCCCUUUUCAAUUCUGAUGCCGGAGUUCACCAUCAGGAUGGACUGAUCCUUAAUACACAUGGGCCACACCAACACAAGCAGACCUAACCAGAUCCUGGGACCAACUAGCCCUAUGUUCCUGAUCAUCACGCUUUCUGGUUGCUUCCUUUGGCGUACUGCCCUCGGUUACCCUGG